rnacentral:rRNA from 1 species
GUGAGGAAUAUUGGUCAAUGGACGGAAGUCUGAACCAGCCAUGCCGCGUGCAGGAAUAAGGUCCUAUGGAUUGUAAACUGCUUUUAUUCGGGAAUAAACCUCUUUACGUGUAGGGAGCUGAAGGUACCGAAGGAAUAAGCACCGGCUAACUCCGUGCCAGCAGCCGCGGUAAUACGGAGGGUGCAAGCGUUAUCCGGAAUCAUUGGGUUUAAAGGGUCCGCAGGCGGGCUAUCAAGUCAGAGGUGAAAUCCCACAGCUUAACUGUGGAACUGCCUUUGAAACUGAUGGUCUUGAAUUAAGUGGGCGUUGGCGGAAUAUGACAUGUAGCGGUGAAAUGCUUAGAUAUGCUACGGAACACCGAUUGCGAAGGCAGCUUACUAUUUCGUAAUUGACGCUGAGGCACGAAAGCGUGGGUAGCGAACAGGAUUAGAUACCCGUGUAGUCC